ACACAAGGCGUAGCAGCCAGAGAGGCUAGCAGGUUGUGACAUGAAUGUUAAUAUCACUUUACUUUUUCAUAUCCUUAUCUCUAACACUAAAUCUAUGUAGCUCAGGAUAUGAACUGCAAACGAGAGAUAAGGAACAUCGUAGUGCUUAUCAAGAAUGAUGGAAUUUGAGAUUCUGAGAUGAAGGCUGAUAUCCAAACCAAGUAACUAAAAUAAAACAUGGCUUCCUUCCCCGAGAUGGUUUCAUAGCCCAGCUCUCCAGCUUUCUCUCCUACCACAAACAUGCAACACAAUUGUGCAACAGCCUAGGAAGGAAUGGUGAGAUCAGAGCCGUGACUGCAGACAUCCUGACAUGGGGAUCUGGCAGCUAUUCAACACAAACACAAUUAGAAGACUUACCCUUGCGUGAAGUAUUUGCUUUCUUGAUAGUCACCAGCCUUAACCUCUAGGAAUGCUUACGAAUCAGAUAGCGUUCCUUGAGGAGGGCGAGCCUUUUCAAGCUCGUCUGUCUUGCUUUAGCCAAGACAGACAUAAAGAAGAAAAAUUCCACUGCAUCAUGCAACUUCUCCAAGUGAAAGCGCUUCAGAGGACAGAAGAGUUGUGGUCUCAAAUCUCUGCCAAGGAUUAAAGAACCGAAGAUCACGUGUUACUUGUUUCUCUCUCCCUCCAUUAUGACCGGCAGGAAAAAAAAUAAUAGCAUAAUAGACAAACCUUGACAUUCACACCAAACAUGAAAGUACGUAACUCCC